CUUCCACCUAAUCUAUACCCAUUGUAUUUUUUUUACUAACCCUAUAGAACAUCCCUAUUUGGUCCAAAAUGUUAAAUUAUCCAUUUUUUGAAAAACAAAAUGUUAAACACCUCUCUGUUGAUGUAAUGAUGGUCAUGAAAUUACACUAUUACGCCCGUUCAUGGAUCUAGCGAUUGAAUCGAGCGACAUUAGCGACAUCUACAGCAGCACCAACACCGACCAUCAAUGACACCCAAUUUUUGGCACGAGAUCACUGAAACCAUCAACACUAGCGACACCAAGCGAGCGAGUGACACUAUCAACACAAGAGAUACCAAGCGAUACACCAAGUUUAAGUGAGAGCGACACUAGGGACACCACGCAAAACACAGAGUUUGAGGGAGAGCAACAUUGUUUUUGCACAAGAGAAAGUGAGAAAAAUAAGAUUCAGCUAGAGUAACAUCAAGCGAGAUGAGUGAGAGUUGAGGCUACUUUUUUACGUGUGUGUAAGUCGAUUUUUGUAUUUUCCUUUGAAUUUGACAUCAAUAAAAAAUUAUUCGACAUUUUCUCAAAAACAA